AAUCUGCUCACGGUUUAGUACAUGCACACAAAGCAAAAACGCUGGUUUGUUUUUUUAAAAGAACUUCGUUCGUCGUCAAUUCCGUUACCGUCACCGUCACCGUGACUGUCCACCUCCGUUUAUCUCAUCCUCACCGUUCAUCUUCUCCGAUCUAACUCGCCGUCGUUCACCGUAUGAUGGACGCCGUCAACGAUUCCUUUUCGCCGGGAUCUUCUCGUCCUUCGCCGUCGACGCUUUCUCGUGAAGAUUGCUGGAGCGAGGAAGCGACCUUCACGCUAAUCCAAGCCUGGGGUAAUCGCUACGUCGAGCUUAGCCGUGGUAAUCUCCGUCAGAAACACUGGCAAGAGGUGGCUAACGCCGUUAACGACCGUCACUACAACACCGGCCGAAACGUUUCCGCCGCCAAAUCGCAGCCGUAUCGCACCGACGUUCAGUGUAAAAACCGGAUCGAUACUUUGAAGAAGAAGUUCAAAGUGGAGAAGGCUAGGGUUUCCGAAUCCAAUCCCGGUGCCUACAUCAGCCCUUGGCCUUUCUUCUCCGCUCUCGAUGACCUUCUCCGGGAAAGCUUUCCGACGUCUAGUAAUCCUGAUUCAACUGAUAACAUCCCGAGCCAGAGGCUAUCGCUUCCGAUGGCGAUUAUUCCAGUUCCGGUCGCUCCACGAUCGGCGAUCCCCAGACGUCCGGCGACGUCGCCGGCGAUUAUACCUCACGUCGGUGACGAUUUACUCGGAUUCCGCGGAAAUCUAAACGCAUUCGCGGCAGCCGCAGCGGCGGCGGCGUGCCCGGCGUCUGAGGAUGAUUCGGAAGGUUCAAGGUCUAGAUCGAGCGGACGAAGCGGAAGUAAGAAGAAGCGGGAGAGGGAAACUGAGAAGAAGCAAGGUUACAAGGAAGUUGCCGACGCAAUUGAGAGGCUUGGACAGAUAUACGAGAGAGUCGAGGAGAGGAAGAGGAAGGAAAUGGUUGAAUUGGAGAAGCAGAGAAUGCGAUUCGCUAAGGAAUUGGAAUGUCAUAGGAUGCAACUCUUCACUGAGAUGCAGGUACGUCUUCAUAAGCUCCGGCGUACUUCUGGAUCCAAAGGACCGACGUCCUCCGCCUCCGCCGCUCUUGAUUAUGGGAUGAUAGACUUUCCUAGUUACUUCUAAUGGCAUCAUGAGUUUGUGAUUGUAGCCAUUGAUGAAGAUGGGAGAAGUCAACAUCUAAGCGUUCUUCCACCAACCAAUAGAAGAUAUGGAUUACUAAUAUAUAAGAUUGUUAAACGACAGAGCUACCCGUACGUAAAGUAUAGUAAAACUAAGGAGGCAUGGAAAGAAGAGAAGAGAAGACAAAAGAUAUCAAUGUAACAGUCCGGAUCCGUGCAUGAUUUGAUAUCUUUCCAUUAUUUUUAUUAUGUUGUAGUUUGGAAUCCUAGCAUUAGACAAUAUGUUACCAUUCACAAACCAGGUAAACUCAUAUUUGGUGUACAAGUAUUUUCAAAAAGCUAUUUAAGAUACGAUCCUUUUGGAAAUA